ACAACCGCAGCGUGAACAGGGGAGGACGCACCUAUUCCAGUUGCACAAUGCUGAGAGAGGAUAGGCGAAACCUUGGACCACCAACGGCAAAUUGGCAAUCUGGGGGAGGCUGUCAACGGGCCGCUAUGGUUCGACAAUCCACAAACAGCUGGGGGUCGUGGAGACGGGGGCUGCCAGGGUACAAAGCGACGCAUCGGUGGCCAACCAUGGGAAAGAGCUGUCAACACGCUUGCCCAGCUGGCAGUCACAACGCUCCCACGGGGCCCACAGUCGACUGAAGUGAAGAGUUAAGGAUGCUGAGGGAUCAUAAGGGAUACCUGCAAGAGCAGGGGAAUCUUAACUCUGAUGAACCUCUGUCAACAAGAUGAAUAGUUGGCCCAGCAUCAAAGGCAGACUCCAGCCGGCCAUUCUGACCACCACAAAGGGGCGUUGGGCGCUGGCGCGGGGCCAGGUGCUACACAUGGUCACAUGGGGACAAGCAGUGCAGAUGGGCCCUGCAGAGGCCUUGUCGCCCUCCACCCCCACGCCUGCACACCAGAGAGCACAGAUCUAAGACUUGGGCCGCCUGUGGAACUGAACCAGCUGAGGACUGCCUACAGUUGGAUUCCAAGGUUGGACCAGGACCAAAAGGAGCUGAAGAAGGAUUUUCAGAACAUUUUUCAGUAUCUUGGCAUCCAGGAGUGAAAAAUGGAGUUUAGGCAUCCAAAACAAGAAUUUUUUUAAAUCAGUCACAAUGGAGGGACUGUUAACAUGAGGAGGCCUUUUCUAGGUUAUGUCACUCUGUCUCAGUUGCAUUCAGUUCUGGGUUUUCACUAGACUAAUUCACCAAAUUCACCCAGAGGUGGAAUUGCUGGUGAUUUGAAAUAUCUGAAUAUUUGCCUUCAGGAUUUUCUGGCAGAGAGCAAAAAUUGCAGCAAGAUCUCCAGAACUUUAUGCCUGUAAGUAGCCCCAGUCAAAUAAACCAUUGCUACUCUGUUUGCCUAUUGGUUUAAUAUUCACUUUCUAAAAUGCUGUUAGUUUUACACCAGAUCUCAGGUUCCAAAAAUAUUUGCUUUGGUCUCAUCAGUCCACAAAAUAAUCCCCCAAAGUCAUCAUAAUUUAUUUAUUUAUUUAUUUUUUUUGGUCAUAAGAUGUAUUUUUGUGUUCUUUUUCGCCAGCUGUGGAAUAUUUUCUUACUCUGCAUUAAAAGUAACUUUGGUCGGCUGGUGACUCCUGGGAAGGGUUCCUAUGGUUUUAUGCCUAAUUGAGAAACUUUGUUGCUUAUCUGUUCUUUAGGUCAGGGCAUGAGGUCCUGUUUUAGAUCUUUCUCAUGUAUUUAAGUGUUUUCUUGACUAGGUGUGCAGUAAUCAGGCCUGGAUAGCUCAUUCAGAUUGCUUUUUUUAUUAUUAAUGAAAUCAUUUAAAAACUGCUUUUUGUAUUUACUCAUGUUAUCCUUGUUUUAUAAUGAAAUUGAUCUGAUCGUAUAAAACAUGUUAGUGUGACCAAACAGCAAUAAUAGAGUAAAUCUAUAAAAGGGAAAUGUUUAUUUCAUUUCAGUGCUCACGGAAAUUUUGAUCGAGAAAUAGGCGGAGUAGAUUUAGCUCCGAUGCACCUAGUCAGAAAUAUAUUUUCUUUUCUAUCACAAAGUCUCUGUAGAGGCAAAUACAUCACUCUUACGACAGUUGGAAAAUCUGACUACAGCUGCUCCAAGAGACGAGAUACGGAUCUGAAGAAACCGAAAUUCUGAGCUAAACACUUCCUCUCCUUUCAGAUGCUCGCCACCAUCAACAAGAAGGUUUGCUGAUAGGUCACCAAAACAAUUUACUUGUGCAAAAUACAAACAAACACCCAGGCCACCUUUGGGUUAAGUUUGUCUUUGUUGUGUGAAUUGUAUCGCUCUGUUGCAUUUGUAGCCAAAAUAACAGCGACAAUAGCGGUGUUUUGAGACGUGCGGCAAAGCAGGCAGCCGAGGGCACAACGUCGCAAACCUUCUUGCCGCUUGCAGAGCAAGAGCUGCUUUGUUUAAAUUUCCCCAGAUCAAAGGGUGCAAUGCAAAUUCCUGCAGCUUCCACGACGCCAUUUGAUGUUUGAAGGAGCCAAAUUAUUGCGGCGAUUACAGUAGCCGUGCACAAUCGAUGGAGCAGUCCAAACAAGCUCUUUAUUGUGGCUCUCAAUUAGCGGUGUGACAUCUCAGCACCCAACGUCUGAGAGGCGUCCUACAAUAGGAGAGGCUGUUUGGGCUGAUAAAGUGAUUUGGCUUGGUGGGGUCCUUUCAUCUUCACUGACAGCAGGGUAUUCAAGGCUUCUGGGUAUUCUUUCUCCACAUCCUCACGCCUCGCCUUUAUUGUGACAAUAGCGCCACUGUGUUUAGUGUCUCAAAAUUGCCACAAGACUCUUUCUCUGUGUGUAACUACCAACUAGUUGCCUCUCAGGCGGGCUGCUGUGAUGAGGAUCAUUGUUUAAAAUGAAAUGAUCAGCGAUGUCCUGAGACGCAGUCAGUUAAAUGAACUCCUGUUUCUGUUGCAGCAAUUUGUGACUAUGUUCACAGUUGGCUGCGGCAUUCUGAUACCAUUCACGAAGUUGGUGAAGGCAGCAUUAUUGUUGUUGCUUGUGUAGUCGCUGAGAAGCAACUACAUGAGUUGAAACGAUAACUUUGCCCGUGGGAAGGACGGAGAACCAGAGGAUCAGGUUCAGCUGAUAACACUUUGCAUUCUGCAGGCGCCAGUGACGGCUCUGAUGCCUCAUGUUUGAUUCUCUCUUUCAUGUUCUGCCUUCACUCUCGAUGUAAGCAGCAUGGGUGAGGAGGAGGUGAAGCGAUGGCGAGAUGACUACAGAGGUUUACAGAAACCGGGAUUUGAUGCUUCUCUGUCAAGCUGAUGGACAGAGGACUAAAGGGAUGUUGGUUUUAAAGCGCUGCAGGCUCUCACAGCAGGCUGCAUCACUGGCAAUAAUCUGAAGAAAGUGGUUUGCCUGCAAAGAAAUGCUGCAUAAGAAAGCUAUAGGCUGUAUAUAUAUAUUUUUUUAAAUGAUUGUAGAUAGAAUGACAUGCAGUUAGGAUAAGGGUCAUGCUAGUUCAAAAUAAAUGUUUAAAUAGUCUUUUUUCACAUUUCGUCACAUUGCAACCAUAAAUGUAAUCUGGGGAUUAUAGCUUUAAAAACAAAAACUGUGCAUGGCUGUGAAGUUGUUGGAAAAUGAAUCAUGGUUUUCAACUUCUUAUGUACGUGGAUUUGUAUUCAGCACUUGUCACUCAAUGAUUAAUAGAACCUCCUUUCACUUGCAGCAAUUUACUAUUACAGUUGUGAGUUUAUUGGGGAUGUCUCUACAAGCUUUAAACAUGAAGAGACGGCUGAGUCCUACUGUCUGCAGCGCAUCACCGCACAUUAAUGUUUAAGUUUUACCUAAAAAAUAAAAAAAACCUUAAUUCGAUUUAGGUCGAAGCGAUGAUAAAACAUAAAUAAUGCUUUGAUCGAAGCUGUUGCACUGUAUUUCCAGAUCUGGCUGAGGGUUUAGCGAUGUUCUCAUACUGGAAUGUAAACUUCUACCACAGUCUCAAAUAUUUCACAGCUUCUAGCAGGUUUUCUCCCAGGAUUACCUCGUAUUUAGCUCCCUCUUCCUUCCUACGCACUCUGACCAGCAUUUACAUCUCUGGUCAUGAAUGACAUUCCCAAAGGAUGACGCUACCACCACCGUGAGAUUGUAAUCUAACACUAAUAAACUCAGUGUGUUGAAGGUCCACCAAAUGUAGGUCAAACAUUUCAUUUGAGCUUUUAGCACCUUCUCCCACAUGUCUGCAAUAUUCUUUACAUGGCUUGUGGCAAAUUUCUGAAGAAAAGUCUACUUGCUACCUGAGCCGUGGAUCUCGGCAGCUCCUCCAGAGUUACAGUGGACCUCUGGGC